UGGGGAAUAUUGGACAAUGGGCGCAAGCCUGAUCCAGCAAUGCCGCGUGUGUGAAGAAGGCCUUCGGGUUGUAAAGCACUUUUAUCAGGAGCGAAACGCUGUCGGCUAAUACCCGGCGGAACUGACGGUACCUGAGGAAUAAGCACCGGCUAACUUCGUGCCAGCAGCCGCGGUAAUACGAAGGGUGCAAGCGUUAAUCGGAAUUACUGGGCGUAAAGCGUGCGUAGGCGGUUUCUUAAGUCUGCUGUGAAAUCCCCGGGCUCAACCUGGGAAUGGCAGUGGAUACUGGGAGGCUAGAGUGUGUCAGAGGGUGGUGGAAUUCCCGGUGUAGCGGUGAAAUGCGUAGAGAUCGGGAGGAACAUCAGUGGCGAAGGCGGCCACCUGGGACAACACUGACGCUGAGGCACGAAAGCGUGGGGAGCAAACAGGAUUAGAUACCCUGGUAGUCCACGCCCUAAAGCGAUGCGAACUGGAUGUUGGUCUCAACUCGGAGAUCAGUGUCGAAGCUAACGCGUUAAGUUCGCCGCCCUGGGGAGUACGGUCGCAAGACU
rnacentral:rRNA from 1 species